rnacentral:rRNA from 1 species
GAUGAACGCUGGCGGCGUGCCUAACACAUGCAAGUCGAGCGAACAGACGAGGAGCUUGCUCCUCUGACGUUAGCGGCGGACGGGCGAGUAACACGUGGAUAACCUACCUAUAAUACUGGGAUAAUAUCGGGAAACCGGAGCUAAUACCGGAUAAUAUAUUGAACCGCAUGGUUCAAUAGUGAAACACGGCUUUGGUGUCACUUAUAGCUGGAUUCGGGCCGCAUUAGCUAGUUGGUAAGGUAACGGCUUACCAAGGCGACGAUGCGUAGCCGACCUGAGAGGGUGAUCGGCCACACUGGAACUGAGACACGGUCCAGACUCCUACGGGAGGCAGCAGUAGGGAAUCUUGCGCAAUGGGCGAAAGCUUGACGGAGCAACGCCGCGUGAGUGAUGAAGGUCUUCGGAUCGUAAAGCUCUGUUAUUAGGAAAGAACAAAUGUGUAUGUAACUAUGCCCGUCUUGACGGUACCUAAUCAGAAAGCCACGGCUAACUUCGUG